CACAAAUUCCGUUACUCGGGGAAAAACGGAUUUGACAAUAUGGCGUACUUUCUGGGAAAUAACUUUAGUUAGUUCGCGGGCGGUUGAGUGGGAAUAUCGCAUGGUUGUUCACUUUUUUGAGGUCCAUGAAAACAUUAGAGCGGUUGAUUGGAGUUCCUUCCUACUACAUUGUUUUGUGAGAUCGCACGGUUUCUCUGUCCUGUUUGGGAAGCGAACUGCAUGGGAUGAAAGUUUGAAGUUACUGCCGCUGGGUAUAAAACUACGACAGGAUGGAGAAACAUCGACCGAAGAAAGAAAGGUUCUCUCUCUUCGGCCCUCGCUCUUCUACCCGAACCACCAACCCUCCCUCUUCGUCCUCUUCGUCCUGUACCUCUGCUCGCCCCAUCCCUCCCCCUCUCUGUCAGACAGACCCUCAUCCUUCCAUCCCUCCCUCCAUCCCUCCCGGGCCUCCUAUCCUUUCUAAGGCAGAGUUUCUGGAGGCAGUGCGUCGCAGUAAUCAGGCAUGCCAGCAAGGGCAGUACAGCCUGGCGGUGCAGCUCUACGGGGAGGCCCUGUCUGCGGACCCUCAGAACUGCAUCCUGUACAGUAACCGCUCUGCGGCCCUUCUCCAUCUGGGACAGUACCAGACCGCCCUGGAUGACGCCCUCAAAGCCCGCCUGCUUAACCCCAAAUGGCCCAAGCUUUUGGAACAUCAACUGCAAACUGCCUGGGAGUGCACAUGAUGCAAAUGUAGUGAGACAAUCAACUCUGUUUCAGAAGGCUCACCUACUCCCAAAGAGUGAAGGACAUACAGGUGAACUUUUUCCUUCUUGGUGACCCGGUAUAUCCACUCCUUGACUGGCUAUCCAGUCUCCAGCCAUAAAACCAGAACAAGAGUUAUUCAACAUUUACCUGAGUGCUGCCAGGACCGGAGUGGAAAUCGUAUUUGGCAGGCUGAAGUCGCAGUGGAGGGUUCUACUUAAGCACAGCGACUUCCACUACACCUUACAUGGUCGCUACUUGUUGUGCAUUGCACAACUACUGUGAGAGAGAAAAGAAGCAUGUAAACCCUGGCUGGAUGGAGGAAGCAGCAGCUUUGGAGAGAGCCCUACCUCAACCUGGUGCAACCAACGCUGAUGGUCAUGCUGCAAGGCACGUGUACAUGACAGCCAACUUCCCUCUCCACAGACGAGAAAUGUAAACAAAUGACCUGACAUGUCAGACUAAAUAGGACUUAGUAGUACUACAAGUACUACUUAGUAGUACACGGCCUACUACCACUUCUGUAU